rnacentral:rRNA from 1 species
CUCUAUGGCAAUACCACUUUGAAUAUGCCCGAUGUCAUCCAAUCUCUAAAGCUAAGCAGGGUUGAGCCUGGUUAGUACUUAGAUAGGCAACCUUCCUGGAAUACUGGAUGUUGUAGGCU